GUGGCAGACGGGUGAGUAACAUGUGGGUACCUUCCCUUUGGUGAGGAAUAACACGAGGAAACUUGUGCUAAUACCUCAUAAGUCUUUACGGAGAAAGCUUUAUGCGCCAUUGGAUGAGCCCGCACUUGAUUAGUUUGUUGGUAGGGUAACGGCCUACCAAGACUGUGAUCAAUAGCUGAUUUGAGAGGAUGAUCAGCCACAUUGGGACUGAGACACGGCCCAAACUCCUACGGGAGGCAGCAGUAAGGAAUCUUGCACAAUGGAGGAAACUCUGAUGCAGCGAUGCCGCGUGAGUGAAGAAGGCCUUUGGGUUGUAAAGCUCUUUCGUCGGGGAAGAAAAUGACUGUACCCGAAUAAGAAGGUCCGGCUAACUUCGUGCCAGCAGCCGCGGUAAUACGAAGGGACCUAGCGUAGUUCGGAAUUACUGGGCUUAAAGAGUUCGUAGGUGGUUAAAAAAGUUGGUGGUGAAAUCCCAGAGCUUAACUCUGGAACUGCCAUCAAAACUUUUUAGCUAGAGUAUGAUAGAGGAAAGCAGAAUUUCUAGUGUAGAGGUGAAAUUCGUAGAUAUUAGAAAGAAUACCAAUUGCGAAGGCAGCUUUCUGGAUCAUUACUGACGCUGAGGAACGAAAGCAUGGGUAGCGAAGAGGAUU
rnacentral:rRNA from 1 species